CUUGCUCCCAACAUAUGAAGAAGGAUGUGUUUGCUUCCCCUUCCACCAUGAUGGUGCAUUUCCUGAGGCCUCCCCAUCCUUGCUGAAUUGGAUGGCUGCUGCUGGUUGGGAAAGCCCAACCUGGUUCUUUAACAAGGCGAUAUGAUUGGUGGUCUUGGUUUUCUGGAAUGACAACAAACAUCCAAGAAAUGAAUUAUGCUGGAAUUCCAGGCAUUUCAGAGGACACCGGAACACAGCCCUGACUGUUCUGGCCAGCUUCUCCUUACCUCAGGAUGUUACAUUCCCAGCACAUUCCAUAGUGAUUGUUGAGAACUACAAGCAAGAAAGAAGAGAGAACUAGGUGGGACCAAAGCUGCCCACAGAAGUGUACUGCAGUCAGUGGCGUGUGAAUUUUCAUUGUUUGCAUUAGUGAUUCCAAUGGGAC
rnacentral:lncRNA from 10 species